AUUGAACGCUGGCGGUAUGCUUAACACAUGCAAGUCGAACGGCAGCGGGAGAAAGCUUGCUUUCUUGCCGGCGAGUGGCGGACGGGUGCGUAACGCGUAGGAAUCUGCCCUGAAGUGGGGAACAACUCGAGGAAACUCGAGCUAAUGCCGCAUAUCACCUAUGGGUGAAAGUGGGCUUUUUAAGCUCAUGCUUCAGGAGGAGCCUGCGUCCGAUUAGCUAGUAGGUAGGGUAAUGGCCUACCUAGGCGACGAUCGGUAGCUGGUCUGAGAGGAUGAUCAGCCACACUGGGACUGAGACACGGCCCAGACUCCUACGGGAGGCAGCAGUGGGGAAUAUUGGACAAUGGGGGCAACCCUGAUCCAGCAAUACCGCGUGUGUGAAGAAGGCCUGAGGGUUGUAAAGCACUUUCAGUUGUGAAGAAAGGGUACAGGUUAAUACCCUGUAUUUUUGACGUUAGCAACAGAAGAAGCACCGGCUAACUCCG
rnacentral:rRNA from 1 species